rnacentral:rRNA from 1 species
AUUGAACGCUGGCGGCAUGCUUUACACAUGCAAGUCGAACGAGUGUCGCACGGGUGAGUAAUACAUCUGAACGUGUCCUAUCGUGGGGGAUAACUGAUCUAAAGAUCAGCUAAUACCGCAUACGAUUGGAGCUGCCGAUGCCCGAUUAUCUGGUUGGUGAGGUAAAGGCUCACCAAGGCGACGAUCGGUAGCUGGUCUGAGAGGACGACCAGCCACACUGGGACUGAGACACGGCCCAGACUCAUACGGGAGGCAGCAGUGGGGAAUUUUGGACAAUGGGCGCAACCCUGAUCCAGCCAUGCCGCGUGGAGGAUGAAGGUCUUCGGAUUGUAAACUGCUUUUGUCGGGGAAGCGGUACCUGAAGAAUAAGCACCGGCGAACUACGUGCCAGCAGCCGCGGUAAUAC